CUAGCUGCGAGAAUUAAUGUGAAUUGCAGAACACAUUGAACAUCGACACCUUGAACGCAUAUGGCGGCCUCGGGUCCAUCCCGAGGCCACGCCCGUCUGAGGGUCGGCG
rnacentral:rRNA from 3 species